AUUGCACGCCGGCGGCAGGACUAACACAUGCAAGUCGAACGAGUGGCGCACGGCUGAGUAAUGUCUGGGAAACAGCCCGACGGAGGGGGAUAACUACUGGAAACGGUAGCUAAUACCGCAUCCCAUCGGAUGUGCCCAGAUGGGAUUAGCUAGACGGUGGGGUAACGGCUCACCUAGGCGACGAUCCCUAGCUGGUCUGAGAGGAUGACCAGCCACACUGGAACUGAGACACGGUCCAGACUCCUACGGGAGGCAGCAGUGGGGAAUAUUGCACAAUUGGCGCAAGCCUGAUGCAGCCAUGCCGCGUGUAUGAAGAAGGCCUUCGGGUUGUAAAGUACUUUCAGCGAGGAGGCGUUACUCGCAGAAGAAGCACCGGCUAACUCCGUGCCAGCAGCCGCGGUAAUAC
rnacentral:rRNA from 1 species